UAAAAUGAUGAAUGACAUUUAGCGUGAACAAUCUCUGAAUCUAAUUUUGUGAUUAGAAACUUAUGUUGCCUUCCUUCUGAAA
rnacentral:snoRNA from 1 species